CAGCCUCAGAGGGGAGAAAGCAAAAUGGCGGCGGCGGUCCGGGGGUGCGGUGGGGUCUGGCGCCGGGUGUGGCAGCGCGGGGCAGGGGGUCUCGCCCCCCGCGGGCAGCGCGCUGCCGCCGGUAGCGCGAGAGGCGCGGCUGUGCCGGCGGGGAAGAGUGGUCCUGCUCCAUGGGUACCAGUUGUUGGUCUGGAAAUUCAUGCACAGAUCAGUUCCAACUCAAAACUCUUCUCUGGUUCCCAAGUCCAGUUUGCAGCACCUCCUAACUCUGUGGUAUCUUUCUUUGAUGCUUCUUUACCAGGAACUUUGCCAGUUAUCAACAGAAGAUGUGUAGAAGCAGCAGUGAUGACAGGACUGGCACUCAAUUGCAGCAUAAACAAGAGGUCCUUGUUUGACAGAAAACACUAUUUCUAUGCAGAUCUGCCUGCUGGCUAUCAGAUCACUCAGCAAAGAGUUCCUAUUGCGGUGAAUGGAAGUUUGUCAUACAGUCUCUGCACAGACAACAAAAUGAGCCAGAUGGUAACCAAAACUGUGAGGAUUAAACAAAUUCAGUUGGAGCAAGACAGUGGGAAGAGUCUCCAUGAUGACACAAGGAGCCAGACCCUUGUCGACUUGAAUAGGGCUGGAGUCGGCCUCAUGGAGGUUGUCAUGGAGCCUGAUAUGUGCUGUGGGGAAGAAGCAGCUGCAGCAGUCAGAGAGCUUCAGCUCAUUCUUCAAACGCUUGGGAGCAGCCACGCAGUCAUGGCAGAGGGUCAGCUGAGAGUGGAUGCCAAUGUUUCUGUGCAUCACCCUGGAGAGCCUUAUGGAGUGAGGACUGAAGUGAAGAAUAUCAAUAGCAUACGAUUCCUGGCAAAAGCAGUAGACUAUGAAAUACAGAGGCAAAUUGAAGAACUUGAAAAUGGAGGAACUAUUCUGAAUGAAACAAGAGCGUUUGAUUCCAAGCUUGGGUGCACUGUACCGAUGAGAGACAAAGAAGGAAAACAGGAUUAUCGCUUCAUGCCAGAGCCAAACCUUCCUCCAUUGAUUCUGUACGAUGCAAAAUCUUUGCCAGCUAAUAUGAGCCAUCAGCAAGUGGUAAAUAUUGAUUGGAUUCAUGAGAGACUUCCUGACCUCCCCAGUGUGAAGAGAGCAAAGCUUGUUGAACAGUAUGGGAUUCUUCCUGAACACAGCUUCACCUUAUUGAAUGAAGACGGAUUAACAGAAUUCUUUGAAAAUGUGGUUAAACAGACCCAAAUGAAACCAAAGAAAGUGAUCGGCUGGAUUCUAAAUGACCUGCUCAGUUAUUUGAACCAACAUUCCCUUACAGUAAAGGAAAGCCCAGUCAGUUCUUCUAUCCUGGCUGACCUUUUGAACCUUCUAGAAAAAAAAGAAAUUUCUUCUACAGCAGCCAAGCAGUUUAUUCCCGGGCAAUACCCUGCUGCAGCAUAGGCAAACAACUAGCAUUCAUGGGUGAUUGUUCCAGAGGUGUGGGGUCGCCCAGCCGUCCGGUACUUGGAGGUGAUGCAGAGGUGGGCUGGAGCUGCUGCAUUCAUUCUGCUUGGUGCUAUUUUUCUUCUGUUUUGUCAUACAUACUCUCAUUACAGCUUGCUGAUGAGGACUGGUAAUGGGAUGAGUUACCUGGGAUUGGACUUGGUACAAUAGUUAGCUAAUGGUCAGUUUCCCGGGCAGAGACAUUGCUCAUGAAAAUGCAUUUGCUUACUGCUCUCAGGCAGUUCUUGUGAAUCAUGUGAGAUGAGCACGAGUACUGCCAGAGGAGCAGCCCUGCAGUCGGUGACAGCCCCUGCCAUCCGUGGUGCCCCCCUCUCCCAGCGAGGUGCGCUCAGGAAAUGCCUGUGAGGAGGUAGGGUACUGGCACUGGUGGUGGCGAGCAGCCCCCAGUGCUGUGGUAGGCUGCAGAGCAACGGUUGCAAACCAUUAACCUGUGCUCGUGCAGUAACUGAAAAUGCUUUGUCUUAUUUCAGGGAGGGAGGGAGAGCACAAGAGCUUUUCCAGCAAGGAUUAAAUCUUGGGUUUGUUCAAAUUUAGACAAUCUGCUGUUGCUUUAAAUAAAACCUGGCUUCUUGGAUCAGUAGUUGAAAUACUGCAUGUAAACAACCUUGCUAAGACACUGACCUCUGCUACACAUUGUGGUUUUCAGGUGCUUGUGGAAUUGUGGAAGGGAGAAGGGAAGACUCCUCUUGAAAUUGUUAAAGAAAAGAAACUUGAACUGAUACAGGAUCAAGGAGCGCUUGAACAGAUCUGCCAGGCGGUGAUUGAUGGACAAGAAAAUGAGGUUAUGGCAAUCAAGGCAGGAAAUCACAAAGUUCUAAACAAGUUAAUCGGCCUGGUGCAAAGGAAAACCCAAGGACGAUCCAAUCCUGUUCUGGUGAAGCAAUUGUUAGAGAAGAAGCUGUUAGAGUAGCCACAAGAGGGAAAACCCACGCCAGCAUAUACACCAGACAUGCACUUCGUUCUAUCUGGUUCACUGCAAAUGAACUUGGUGCCUCCUCGUGUGGCAUCAGGAUGAUUGCUUAUACUUCAAGCAGCACUGUGGCCUGGCCAGUCCCAGUCUUGCCUGGGUGCAACAGCCAAAGGCAGAUGAGCAAGAGAACAGCAGGAGGUGAUACAGUCGUUUGCAUCUCCCUCACGUCACUGUGGCCUUCAGAGAUGUGAUUUCCUCACAGCCAUGGGAAACAAGUUCCCAGGGUGCCCAUUACUAUGCAGGGAGCUGAAGCUGUAUUGGUUGGUUUUGUAAUAAAGCAAGUGUCAACUCGGC